UCGAAAAAACCAUAAAAAUGCCUAACCCCACCCCCCAAACGAGCAAAGGUUGCUGCGCGAGUGUGAGAGCGCCCCCCCAGCCGUCCCUGACCCUAACCCCCCAAAUCCCCAAUCCCUAACCUGCGGCUGCGCUCUCUACUGUUUAGCCUCUACUACCCAGUCGCUCUCGCUCUCUCUUCUCCAAAUCCCCAAAGCACGACGCCACCCACAGCACCACGCCGAAGCCUUCCUCUUCGCGGAGACGCCACCCACAGCACGACGCCGUCGCCCACGCACAGCACCACGUCGUCGCCGUUGAGACGCCACCACCCAACGCCAGCAGUGUUUCUGGGUUCUCCCACUCAGCGCCACUAUCAUCAGUUCAACCCACUCCCAGCACGGCAGCACCUCCGAGUCUCUCAGUCAGCCUUCCUCCCAAGUCAACAUGGAGCCCGAGCCACCGAUUCAGGGAGGAGGAUCUGACACGGAAGUGACAUGGGAGGACGAGCAGAACAUCAAUAAGUUCGGAAGAUUGAACAAUCGCUUUCAUGAGCUCGAGGAUGAGAUCAAAAAUUGCUUCUGAUUGUUGCUAGUUGUUGUUUUCUUGCUGGUUCAGUGUUCAUUGUUUUAAUUGUUGUUCAUUGUUUAGGGAAAUUGCUUCUGAUUGCUAGUUCACUGAUCAUUGUUUAAUUUAUUUGUUGUUCUGUUUUUAAUCUAUUUGUUGUUGUGUUUCUGCUCUUGAAUUAUUAGACCAAAGAAAUUGGAUUGUGAAACUUUAGAGUUGAGCUAGGCAUCACAUGCACUUAUGUUAGAGUAUGGAUAUCUGGAGUUGAUUAAUAUGGUAGCUGAAUUGAUUUGAUGCUGAUCCCAUCUGGUUCCCAAUUUUCCCCCCAAUACCAUUGACAUCCAAAAUAUGAACUAUUAAUGCUUUUGCAGUUGUUCACAGCUUCUAAUGACUAAUCAACUUUUCAUACUGUAAUUAUAGUAGUCACUUCAUUAAAAUUGUAUAAUAUGGGGCUUUUGGUUAAAACAAAAAAAAAAUUGUAAAACUUUGAGAUUGUAAUGGGCACUUCAAUAUUACUUGUAAUCCUAAUUGCUAGAAACAAUUAAUAUGAAUCGAGGCCCUAUUGACAAAGCUAAUUGAAUUUGUAGUCUAUUUGUGUUUCAUUUCAUAUAUGUAUUGUGUUCAAAGUGUACAUGUAAUAUUAUGAGCAGUAGUUUAUUUAUGAAGAGAAGUUACUUAUGUAGCCUUCUUGUUUUAUUAUUAUAGGAGUUGGGAAGUCAUGUCUUCUACUUCAAUUCACUGGCAAGCGCUUUCAACCCGUCCAUGACUUGAAAAUUCAUUUUAUUUUUUCAGUUGUAUUGACUAUUAAACUUUUAAACUUCUUUAAUUGUCGUAUUUGAAUUUCUUUUGUUAUUAAAUUUUAUUAGAUCAAGACUUUGUUAGCUAUUGUUAAUUUGUGUUUGUCGAUUUCAAUAUUAUGACUUU